rnacentral:tRNA from 1 species
GGUGGCUCAGUUGGUAGAGUCCUUGCCUUGCAUGCAUGAGGCCCUGGGUUCGAUUCCUCAGCACCA